rnacentral:lncRNA from 1 species
GCGCGCGGGGCGGGGCGCGGCGGGGGCGGCGGGGGCGGCGGGGGCGGCGGGGCGCGGCAGUUCCCCCACCGAGCACUGCGCCGGGUUCCUCUCCGAGCCCCGCGGCGCAGGUGCAAGCGCACGGCGGGCCUCCGGCAGCGGCUCGCUGCGUCCCGGGCGCGCUCCGUCGGGCGAGCAUCCCGGAGGGCGGCUCGCAGGUGGCGGCGCGGGCCGGCGCGCGGGCGGGGCCGGGCAAGGGGAGGGCUCGGCGCGCGUCGGGCGGUGACGGCAGCGCGGAGGGGAGGCGCGAGCCGCCCGCCCGCGGGGGAGCCAUGGCGAGAGGCCGCGCCGCGGCGCCCGCAUCAGUGCCCCCGUCCGCAGCAGCGCCCCCGCCCGCCGCCCCGGGGCCCGCGCCGUCGCCGUCCCCCCGCGCCCCGAGCCCGUGACGCCCGCGCGCCGCGAGCGAGGCGCCCCCGCGAGAGGGGCCGCGCGGGAGGGAGCGCGGGGCAGCCGGAGCACCCCACGACCCCCGCGCCCCGGAGCCGCGGACCCCGAGCCCGCGAGCGCCAGGUCGGCGGCGGGCGGCGGGAGGAGGGGGGCCGGAGCCGGGGCCGGAGCCGGGGCCGGAGCCCGGAGCCCGCCGCGUGCGCCCCGGUGCCGCCCGGCCGCCUGCUGCGGAGGGAAGCGGAGCCGCCGGGCGGCCGGGGCCCGGCCGAGGACAGCGAAGCGGAGGCAGCCAGCGGAGCCGGGCGCCCGGGAGCCCCGCGCGGGAGGCCCCCGGGGCCGCGCCUGCUCGGGAUUCCCUGUAAGAAGCCCCUGCUGGUGUGCCAGACCGACCGGGGGCUGUCCACCCGACUGCCCCAGACUCCGGCAACGGGGCCCCCGAUGGCAGUGGGCACCUCCCCGUGAAACCUGCCAAGCUGGACGCCACAGCUCCGAACGACGACACUUUGGCCAACUCUGUGCCCCCUUUGGAGGCGUGCAACCAUGCAGUCCUAGCCUGCAGCCCGGGCAUCCCUGAGGAGCACUAUGUAAGCGAGGCUGUGGAAGAUGCUCCCAGCUGCAAAGGGUACCGGGAUGCCUGCACCAUCACCGGUAAGGGGAGCCCUUUCCUGUGGGGCAGGGGGGAGGUCUCAGUGAAUGAGGACUGGGGGAGGCCGUGGCCACAGCAGUGUGUCUGGGUGAGGUGUGAAUGGCCAGGGGGGAAAUGUCUGAGUACAAAGAGUCUGAGCUUUGGGAUUUUGAGACCUGCCAUCCAGAACCAACAUAAGGUGAAGACAAGCCUUUAGUGAUGCUCAAUGUAGUUUGGUGCCUCCUCCUCUCGCUGAAGCUCAGUUGCUGAUUCAUGCAUACAGACAGGUGUGGUGGAAAUCACACAUGGCUGCGUUGUGGGCUGCAAACUUGGGGAACUGUUUGCAGGGCCCUUCGUGUACUGCCAAGACUUGCACAGACAUGGCUUCUUAGAGAUGCCUGCACCAGUCACACCUUCCUCAUGUCCCAGGAGCAGAGUUAAUCAUACUAGAGCUCUUGCUUGUUCUUUUCCCCCCAGCCCUGAGGGAUCAUCAUUGAGACAAGUACUUGGAGCCAGUGCACUCAAGGGCUCUGAGCAGACAUGAUGUGGACUGGUGUGAGCAGAAGCAGCAAGGAGCGCUGUUAGAGUUACAUCCAGAAACAUUCCUCUCAAAGUUUGCCCCAGUUGUUGUCUUGUCUGCAGCAUUUACUUUUCUCCUCCUGAUUGAAAUAAUGCCCAGUGACAGCUUAAAAUGUGCAGAUUCCAGCAGCUUUGUAUUGUUCUGUUUCACAGAUAAGCAUUGAGGACCUCCUGUGUGUCAAGAGUGUCCUAAGUACAGAGGGGCACCCAGGUGGCCCAGGAUCCCAGUCUGGGUGCCCAGCCCUUGUGCUGAGCUCCAGGCCCCAUGAAUGGCCCUCUAUCUGCUCGUGCACGGAAUCCCACACCUGCUUGCCUGCCCACUUCCAGAAGGAGACAUUUCCUACAUCUCCUCUCCCUCUACAUUAUCUGUUUCCUUUUGCUCAUGGAUCUCUUGUGUUAGCACAGAAACACACUGUGACCUCUCCCUUUAUUAAAAGAUUCAUUGGUGGCCCCCACAGCCAGUCUCUGCUCCUCUGUGUACACACUGCAUUUUCUUUUCUGUUCUCACCUGCAUCCAGUGUGAGCAGGCUGCGACCCCAUCGCUCCCCCUGCCCUGAGGGCCUUGUCCGGUGUAGGGGUCAGUCCUUAGCCUUCAUCUUCUUGCCUUUUCAGCAGGAGUUGACACUGCUGACCACUCUCUUCUCCUGGAAGAUCUCUCUUGGCUUCGAGUCCCCAUUCUCCCAUUCUCUGACUUUUCUGGCUGCUGCUCUCCCCAAGCCUGGGAAUGUUGCAGGGUCUCAGGCUCAGUCCUUCCAGCCCCUCACUCUCUCAUAAACACCCAGGCCUCAGGUGAUCUUCCCCAGUCUCUAGGAUUUAAAAUCUGCCGUAUGCUGACCACUGUCUAGCUUCUGUCCUUAGACUAAACCUCUGCCCUGGAGGCCAGACAUGUUGGUCUGACUCCACGUACAUCUUCCCUGGGAUGCCUCUGGGCAUCUCAGACUGAAACAGCCAACAAGGAACUGAUGUGCACCUCUUCCUGCUUUUCCUGUGGUCUGUCCUGUCUUUAGAGACAGUACUUCUGUCCUUCAGUGGCUCAGGCCAAACCCCUUGGAGGCAUUCAUGACCCCUGUGUUUCUUUCACACCCUGGUUUCCUGGAAAGUCUGCUGGCUCUGUUUUCAGUGUGUCCAGAGUUUUAUGGUUUCUUACCAGCCCCGUGGCAUGUACCCUGUUCCACGCCACCAAAGAGGCUUUUUAAACAGGUGAUUUAACUCUUCUGCUCCAAAUCUCCAGUGGACUCUUACCUGACCAUGGCCUGUGGCGGUUUACGUGACAGGGCUUUCCCACCCCUCUGACUAUCUCAUCUGUGCCCACUCCACCCCAGACACUUUGGCCUCCUUGCUAAUCCUUGGACUCACCAGGAAUGUGCUGCCUCAGGGCCUUUGUUCUUGCUGCUGCCCAGCACCUGGAUCGCCUACCCCCCAACCCCUACUCCGCUCCAUGUCCUUGUGAUUCCCUCUUCACUUUCUCCAGAUGGCAUUACAUUAGAAGCCUUUUUGUGAAUUCCCUGAAUAGAGUGGUCCACCAUUUCCUUUCUCUUUCUCCCUUUCCUGCCAUAUUUUCCUCCCCAGACUUAGUCAUGAGCUACUAUGUGUUUUGAGGACAAGGACUUUGUGCAGCCCUGUAUUCCAAUGACUGAAAUAGCACCUCAUGUGGCCAGUGCUUGGCAAGUGGGGUCUAUUACUCCCUUUUUUACUGGUAAAGAGAGUAAAUCAUGAGAGGUUCGGCAUCCUGCCUGAGCUUCCUGAGCUCUGAGGGGUGAUAUUUGUAUGUAGGUCAUGAUCCCAGGACGGGAGUUCUUAGCACCCCCAGAAUACAGUCCAGUGGGAUGGACAGAUGAGCGAAGGAAAAUUGACAAUGUGCCAUGGUUGGCACAGUGUUAAGCAUGGUCACAUGAGAGCACACUAAGGGUACGAGUCUUGGAGGGAAAAGUUUGGGGGAGGACCGAGAGGGCUUCCUGGAGGAGGCAGAGUCCCAGCUGUGUUCUCAUUUGCCCAAGCAUGGGAACUAACCCUGGGGCUUCCAGUGGCAUCUGUGCCAGCGAAAUCCAGGAAACAUGCAGCCUGUUGAAGUAGUUUCACUUUCUCCAAACGUGACAAACAAAGACAAAGAAAUGGUAGAAUGUGGUGCUGAAACUUCAAACCCCACAGGGCGUGGUGCCUGGAGGCUGUUUGCUGGACAUCAGUGGGAGGACAGCUGAGAAGCAGAGCUCAGCGCCAUCACGUUUGGCAGUGGCUUAGUAAACAGGAGUGUAAGCACAGGCCCCGUUACGCAUUGAGGGUGCUGGGUGGCCAGAUGAUGCAGGACAGUCUCAGGUUAAAGGUUUUCUAGAUGGUCACUGAGAGGAGGACACAGAGUGAAAAAUAUUCUCAGAGAGCCCUGGAGUGUCCCCAAGAAUGCACAUUUGGCUCCAGGGGCCCUGCCAAGUGUAGUCCUGGGAGCCCACUUGGCCUCAGGCCUCUGAUAAAUAUCCCCCGCCCCCGGUUCCCAGUGAGCAGCGAGAUGAACAGCAGACUUUUUGUUCCUCUUUAAUUUUCAGGCAAAGCCAAAUGCCCAGCACAAAGCCCUGCUCCCCUGCUCCUCCCCCACCCCUUCGCUUAGGGAUAUCACAUUUUGGGGUGCGUCAUUUUCUCUUUGGGGUGGCUUAACAAGAUGAGCCGAUAGGGUGCCCAGGCUGCCCGGAGUUACGUAACCCAUUGUGCUUCCAGGGCAGCUCGCAAUCUUAGGAUUUGCCCCAACAGGCAAACCGACAAAGCUGCUGAGGAAGGCGCAGGCGGGUGGCUGUGCCGAGGUCCUGCCCCAUCUGGGUUCUCAUGGAGAAUCCCUUUUCUCUCUGACUUGCC